GAUCCCAAGCCUUCUGGCGGUCUGUUCAAAGGCCCUUGGAAGUGAUGAUAGAUUCCUAUGAUAGACUUCUGUGGGGAAGAGAGGCUUUCUCUGAGAGAGGGUUUUUCUGUUUUUGUCAGAUAAUGCCGGAGGAGGUUUUCCGGUAUUCUCCGGAGGGCUUGUAGCUCAGUUGGUUAGAGCGCACGCUUGAUAAGCGUGAGGUCGGAGGUUCAAGUCCUCCCAGGCCCACCAAUUUAUGCUUGUCCAUAGGGCCUGUGUGGUGCUAUUCUGCUUUUGUGAAGCGGAGCGCGGAGGCGUCUGGGCCGCUUGCUACGGGAGCGCGUGUGCUGUCCCAUCAAGAGGGCCUUUCCCAUCGAGGGGCGCCCUUAUUAAGAGGACCUUUUUAAGGCCCCUCCCGAUUGAGUCCAUUGAGGCCGAUGAUUGAAGGGGCGAUGAAGUGAGGCGCAUGAGUGAGGUGCAGCGGGGUUAAGCCCUGGGUGUGUAUUACGGGGUUUUCCGGGAUAAGGCGAGAUCUCUUAGAAUAAAGGAGAUUUGUUGAAGGGGUUAAAGGAGAGCAGUUCAGGUGCGGGAGGUAUUUUGAGCUCUUUUGAUUUUUAGGGGGCCGUAGCUCAGCUGGGAGAGCACCUGCUUUGCAAGCA
rnacentral:misc_RNA from 1 species